AUUGAACGCUGGCGGCAUGCCUUACACAUGCAAGUCGAACGGUAACAGGUUAAGCUGACGAGUGGCGAACGGGUGAGUAACACAUCGGAACGUGCCCAAUCGUGGGGGAUAACGUAGCGAAAGCUACGCUAAUACCGCAUACGAUCUACGGAUGAAAGCGGGGGAUCGCAAGACCUCGCGUGAAUGGAGCGGCCGAUGGCAGAUUAGGUAGUUGGUGAGGUAAAGGCUCACCAAGCCUGCGAUCUGUAGCUGGUCUGAGAGGACGACCAGCCACACUGGGACUGAGACACGGCCCAGACUCCUACGGGAGGCAGCAGUGGGGAAUUUUGGACAAUGGGCGCAAGCCUGAUCCAGCAAUGCCGCGUGCAGGAUGAAGGCCUUCGGGUUGUAAACUGCUUUUGUACUGAACGAAACGGUCCUUUCUAAUACAGGGGGCCAAUGACGGUACCGUAAGAAUAAGCACCGGCUAACUACGUGCCAGCCGCCGCGGUAA
rnacentral:rRNA from 1 species